UACGUAGGGGGCAAGCGUUGUCCGGAAUUAUUGGGCGUAAAGAGCUCGUAGGCGGUUCAGUAAGUCGGGUGUGAAACCCCCAGGCUCAACCUGGGGACGCCACCCGAUACUGCUGUGACUAGAGUCCAGUAGGGGAGUGUGGAAUUCCCGGUGUAGCGGUGAAAUGCGCAGAUAUCGGGAGGAACACCAGCGGCGAAGGCGACACGCUGGGCCGUACCUGACGCUAAAGCGCGACAGCAUGGGGAGCAAACGGG
rnacentral:rRNA from 1 species